rnacentral:tRNA from 1 species
AAUUUGGUCUGUGUAGAUUAUUGUAAAUCAUGAUGCUGUUAACUUCAGGAA